rnacentral:lncRNA from 1 species
GAUGGUUUGAAAUUUAUUUUUGGUACUGGAAAGGGCUUAAGUAUUAUUUUUUUAAAUCUCCAAAUCUUUUUUUUUUUAUGAUUCACAAUUUUUGUAUUUAUUUAUUUACUUUUUUAUUUUUUUGCUUUUUAGGGCUGCACCUGGGGCACAUGGGAGUUCCCAGGCUAGGGGUCAAAUAGGAGCUACAGCUGCCAGCCUACACCACAGCCACAGCAAUGAGGUAUCCGAGCCGCAUCUGUGACCUACACUGCAGCUCACAGCAGUGCUGGAUCCUCAACCCACUGAGUGAGCCCAGGGAUUGAACCUGCAUCCUCAUGGAUACUAGUUGGAUUUGCUGCCACUGCACCACAGUGGGAACUCCUGAUUCACAAUUUUUAAAGGUUAUACUCCAAUUAUAGUUAUUAUGGAAUAUCUGCAUACUCCCUGUGCUACACAAUAUUUCCUCAUAGCUUAUUUAUUUUAUACACAGUAGUUUCUAUCUUAAUUCCCUACCUCUCCUUUGCCCCUCCUCCUUUCCCUCUCCUCACUGGUAACCACUAGUUUGUUCCCUGUAUCUGUGAGUCCUCUUCUUUUUUGGUUAUAUUCACUAGUUGCAAUUUUUUAGAUUCCACCUAUAAGUAAUAUCAUACAGUAUUCGUUUUGCUCUGACUUAUUUCACUUAGCAUAAUGCCCUCCAAGUGUAUCCGUGUUGCUGCAAGUGGCAAAAUUUCAUCCUUUUUUUAAUGGCUGAAUAGUAAUUCCUAUACAUCUACAUCUAUAUCACAUCUUCUUUAUCUCUUCAUCUGCUGAUGGGCAUUUAGGGUGCUUCCAUAUCUUGGCGAUGGUAAAUAAUGCUCCUAUGAACAUUGCAGUGCCUGUAUCUUUUUGAAUUAGUGUUUUUGCUUUUUUCAUCUAUAUCCCCAGGGGGGGAACUGCAGGGUCAUAUGGUAGUUUCUAUUUUUAGUUUUUGAGGAACAUCCAUACUAUUUUUCACAGUGGCUGCAUCUAUUUAUGUUCCCACCAACAGUGUACAAGGGUUCCCCUUUCUUCACUUCCUUGCCAGCAAUAUCACUGGUGUUCUUUUUGAUAACCUUGCAGAAGGAGAUUUUAAGAGAAGAACCAGUGUACAACACCUUUCUGCAUGAAGCCCUCUCGCUUUUCCCAUAGAGUGAACUCCAACCCCAGCAUGUUCUGGUCCAUGCUCCCCUCCCCCCAGCUGCUGGAACAGGUGUAUCCCUUCCAUCACGGGGC